rnacentral:lncRNA from 1 species
CCCCUAUAUAGUUUAUGCCAACAAGACUACUCAGGAUGGGGGAUGACCAUGCCAGGAAAACCAACCAUGUGAUUAGAGAGCUGGGGCUUUGAGCCAUGUGGUAUCAACUCAACCUCUGGGAAGAGGAAGAGAACAAGAGAUUAAGAACCAUGGGCAAUCAUUCAAUUGAUCACGAGAGCAAAGCAUCCUGACUCCAGGAAGAGAGGGCGAAAGAAGCGUCACCUUCAGCAUCCUUCUAGAUCUCGCCCUAAAUACAUGAACUGGUCAACUUUAUUAAAAACUUCAAAUCUACAUUCUUGCAGGAACAGUUGCAUGCAGAGACAGUCCAACUAUGGAAAUACUUCAGCAAGCACAGCCAAGUGCCUCCCCAGAGCUUUAGCCCCAGUUACUGCCUAGAGUAAAAACAAAACAAGAAAAUGGUCAAAAUGAGUCAAUCUCCUAAACUUCAACCGGAAAAGAGACAAGAGAACAAGACAAACUUCUCCAAUCCCACUUCUGAGAUAGUCAAAAGGCUCAAUCAUAAGUGCUGGAGGAAACUAAAUGGCUCCCUUGGACAGAUGCUCUGGUUCCUUCAAGCCACUAGGCUUUCCAAAAGUCUCCUAGAAUCAUCCAAGGCUUCUAUGCAAAGAUACUUUCCUCCCAAGACUAAAAAGAAUAGCAAGUCCAGAGUUACAGGAGAAUGAUAUCCUGAGAAAGUGUCAAAAUUGCCUUCUGAUUUCCAGGAACAGUAAACCAAUGAAUACACAUAAAGAAGAAAAUCAAAAUACUACUCUAUGCCUUCUUCAGGGAAUUAAACUUUGGUUUGGGGAGCCUGACUCUUCUACUCU